AUGAUUGUGCGGGGAGAGAACAUGUUUUUAGUGUCGCCGAAGGAGCAAGUAGGUAUCUAUGAAUCUCUCAGGCAAAAAGACUCGUACGGGACG
rnacentral:ncRNA from 1 species